CCUACGGGUGGCAGCAGUGAGGCAUAUUGGUCAAUGGACGCAAGUCUGAACCAGCCAUUCCGCGUGCAGGAAGACGGCUCUAUGAGUUGUACACUGCUUUUGUACGAGGGUAAACGCAGAUACGCGUGUCUGUCUGAAAGUAUCGUACGAAUAAGGAUCGGCUAACUCCGUGCCAACAGCCGCGGUAAUACGGAGGAUUCAAGCGUUAUCCGGAUUUAUUGGGUUUAAAGGGUGCGUAGGCGGUCGGAUAAGUUAGAGGUGAAAUCCCGAGGCUCAACUUCGGAAUUGCCUCUGAUACUGUUCGGCGAGAGAGUAGUUGCGGUAGGCGGAAUGUAUGGUGUAGCGGUGAAAUGCUUAGAGAUCAUACAGAACACCGAUUGCGAAGGCAGCUUACCAAGCUACUUCUGACGUUGAGGCACGAAAGCGUGGGGAGCAAACAGGAUUAGAUACCCCAGUAGUC
rnacentral:rRNA from 1 species